rnacentral:tRNA from 1 species
GCCCUUGUAGUAUAAAUUAAUACACCGGUCUUGUAAACCAGAAACGGAUAUCUUUCCCCAGGGCA